GCCGAAGUGGCGAAAUUGGCAGACGCACCAGGUUUAGGACCUGGCGGGGAAACCCAUGAGAGUUCAAAUCUCUCCUUCGGCA
rnacentral:tRNA from 1 species